rnacentral:rRNA from 1 species
UACGGAGGGGGCAAGCGUUGUUCGGAAUUUCUGGGCGUAAAGGGCGCGCAGGCGGCUGCUCAAGUCAGGCGUGAAAGGCCUGGGCUCAACCCGGGAAUUGCGCUUGAGACUGGGCUGGCUUGAGUGCGGGAGAGGAUGGUGGAAUUCCCAGUGUAGAGGUGAAAUUCGUAGAUAUUGGGAAGAACACCGGUGGCGAAGGCGGCCAUCUGGACCGCAACUGACGCUGAGGCGCGAAAGCGUGGGGAGCAAACAGG